rnacentral:sRNA from 1 species
CUUCUACUUCUUCUUCCUCUUCUUCG